CAGAGGAAGUACUGAAAUUCAGCGUUAAGUAAAAAAACCAAAAAAGGAAAGUUGGUACCAAAGACUGUUUGGUUUUUUGGGAAGAGAUCAUCAUGUAAUUACAAUUUGUUCGUCCUAUUAAAGGCAGGAAAAUCUGUAUGUGCCAUGCAAUCACUGUAGCAGAUGUGUUCGUUGGCUGCCCCAAAGCCUUGGCUUCUCCAGCCCCAUUUCAUUUGCCUGGCUUUCAUUACAGAGACUGAAAAAAUUUCUCUCUUUAGUUUAUUCAACUUUCCUUCCGGGUCAGGUCACAUAUGGAAAGAGGGUCUCCUAGGAGCUUUUGGGAGGAUUUCUCCUUUUUUCCAUUAGAAAGAGGUACCCAAGAAGGAGCACUCUUAAUACUGUCUCCUGAGAUGCAGCCAUCAUGAAACCAUAAGGAACAGAACAGCAAGGAACCGACACCAAAUAGGCUGGGAAAUCUUUGAGACACUGAACCAAUGCCGCGACCACUUAUUUCCAAAGUCUUGCUAUAUGAGGCACCAUUGUUAACUAGGUUUUUCUUUGAUUUGAAGCUGAAAGCAUUUCUAACUAUUUCUAAAAGUGGAGGUCACAUUUUAAAAUGAAACUUAUCAUCUGAAUUCCUUCAUGACUUUUUUCUGUUUCAAAAGGCAAAUAAACACGAUGAUUUAUUUCCCACAGAUCAAAAUGUUAUAUGAUGUGGCCAACAUGUAAUAAAAAAAUUGGGAAGAUAACUAAAAAGAACUGGAGUACAUUCUGGGUCUAUUGGGCUCAAACUCCAGCUUGACUGCUUCUGGCUGUUUGACCUCAACUGAAAGUUAGUAAUAAUCAGAGUCAUUUACAUCAUAGGAUUAUUGUGAGAAUUACAUGUGAUAUUUUUAAAUUGCUAACCCCCAUGCCUGGGA
rnacentral:lncRNA from 1 species